rnacentral:SRP_RNA from 1 species
UCGUGCUAGACGGGGAGCUAGCGGUGCCCUGAACCCGCAAUCCGCUACAGCGGGGUCGAAUUCCCGCUCGAGGUCGAGGCUCCGCAGGGACUACCCGUAACAAGUGGCAUUGAUGGUCUGGCCCUGCGCGGCAGGCCGCCACCAACCCCGCCAGAUCCGGAAGGAAGCAACGGUACGUGGUUAGGUCUGGGUGCCGCAGGUACACCGGAUCGGAGCUGGCUGUUACGGGAAAGCCUGAGGACUGAGAUCGACAGCGGGUGCACGA